rnacentral:tRNA from 1 species
GGCGGCGUAGCUCAGUGGUAGAGCAGCAGACUCAUAAGCUGUUGGUCGGGGGUUCAAGUCCCUCCGCCGCUACCA